UACAGAGGUCUCGAGCGUUGUUCGGAUUCAUUGGGCGUAAAGGGUGCGUAGGUGGCGCUGUAAGUCAGGUGUGAAAUUUCGGAGCUUAACUCCGAAACUGCAUUUGAUACUGCGGUGCUUGAGGACUGGAGAGGAGACUGGAAUUCACGGUGUAGCAGUGAAAUGCGUAGAGAUCGUAAGGAAGACCAGUGGCGAAGGCGGGUCUCUGGACAGUUCCUGACACUGAGGCACGAAGGCCAGGGGAGCAAACGGG
rnacentral:rRNA from 1 species